UACGUAGGGACCGAGCGUUGUCCGGAAUCAUUGGGCGUAAAGAGCGUGUAGGCGGCCUUUUAAGUCCUGCGUGAAAUCCUGCGGCUCAACCGCAGACGGUCGUGGGAAACUGGAAGGCUAGAGUGCGGGAGAGGAGAGUGGAAUUCCCGGUGUAGCGGUGAAAUGCGCAGAUAUUGGGAAGAACACCAGUGGCGUAGGCGACUAGCUGGGCCAUAACUGACGCUGAGGAACGAAAGCCAGGGGAGCGAAUGGG
rnacentral:rRNA from 1 species